AUUGAACGCUGGCGGCAUGCCUUACACAUGCAAGUCGAACGGUAACAGGUCUUCGGAUGCUGACGAGUGGCGAACGGGUGAGUAAUACAUCGGAACGUGCCUAGUAGUGGGGGAUAACUACUCGAAAGAGUGGCUAAUACCGCAUGAGAUCUACGGAUGAAAGCAGGGGAUCGCAAGACCUUGUGCUACUAGAGCGGCCGAUGGCAGAUUAGGUAGUUGGUGGGAUAAAAGCUUACCAAGCCGACGAUCUGUAGCUGGUCUGAGAGGACGAUCAGCCACACUGGGACUGAGACACGGCCCAGACUCCGACGGGAGGCAGCAGUGGGGAAUUUUGGACAAUGCGCGCAAGCCUGAUCCAGCAAUGCCGCGUGCAGGAUGAAGGCCUUCGGGUUGUAAACUGCUUUUGUACGGAACGAAAAGCCACGGGUUAAUACCCUGGGGUCAUGACGGUACCGUAAGAAUAAGCACCGGCUAACUACGUGCCAGCCGCCGCCGUAA
rnacentral:rRNA from 1 species